AGAGUUUGAUCCUGGCUCAGAACGAACGCUGGCGGCGUGCUUAAGACAUGCAAGUCGAACGGAAAGGCUUUUCACUCUUCGGAGUGACGAGUACUCGAGUGGCGCACGGGUGAGUAACGCGUGGGUAAUCUGCCCUCAGGUUUGGGACAACUCCGGGAAACUGGAGCUAAUACCGAAUAAGACCACGAGGUCCUUGGGCCUUGCGGAAAAAGGUGGCCUCUUCUUGAAAGCUAUCGCCUGUUGAUGAGCCCGCGUCCCAUUAGCUUGUUGGUGAGGUAAAAGCUCACCAAGGCAUCGAUGGGUAGCUGGUCUGAGAGGAUGAUCAGCCACACUGGAACUGAGACACGGUCCAGACUCCUACGGGAGGCAGCAGUCGGGAAUCUUGCACAAUGGGCGAAAGCCUGAUGCAGCAACGCCGCGUGAGGGAUGAAGGCCCUCGGGUCGUAAACCUCUGUCGGAAGGGAAGAAAGUAUUUUGGGUUAAUACCCCAGAGUAUCGACGGUACCUUCAAAGGAAGCGCCGGCUAACUCCGUGCCAGCAGCCGCGGUAAUACGGAGGGCGCGAGCGUUAUUCGGAAUCAUUGGGCGUAAAGCGCGUGUAGGCGGCUGGGUAAGUCGGAUGUGAAAGCCCGGGGCUCAACUCCGGAAUUGCAUACGAAACUGCUCAGCUAGAGUCUCGGAGAGGAGGGCGGAAUUCCCG
rnacentral:rRNA from 1 species